rnacentral:rRNA from 1 species
CACGUAGUUAGCCGGGGCUUCUUAGUCAGGUACUGUCAAGGGCGCUCGCGCGCUUUUCUUCCCUGCCGAUAGAGCUUUACAUACCGAAAUACUUCUUCACUCACGCGGCGUCGCUGCAUCAGGGUUUCCCCCAUUGUGCAAUAUCCCCCACUGCUGCCUCCCGUAGGAGUUUGGGCCGUGUCUCAGUCCCAAUGUGGCCGGUCACUCUCUCAAGCCGGCUACUGAUCGUCGCUUUGGUAGGCCAUUACCCUGCCAACUGGCUAAUCAGACGCGGGCCCAUCCUGUACCUAUAAAUAUUUGAUGGAAUAUCAUGCGGUAUCUCCAUGUUAUGCGGUUUUAGCAGCCGUUUCCAACUGUUAUCCCCCUGUACAGGGCAGGUUACCCACGCGUUACUCACCCGUCCGCCACUAAGUCUUAAUCCUUCCAUCCCGAAAACUUCCGCACUAAGACCCCGUUCGACUUGCAUGUGUUAGGCACGCCGCCAGCGUUCAUCCUGAGCCAGGAUCAAA